rnacentral:rRNA from 1 species
CCCUUAGAUGUUCUGGGCUGCACGCGCGCUACACUGAUGCGCUCAACGAGUUUACGACCUUGCCCGGAAGGGUUGGGUAAUCUUUUUAAAACGCAUCGUGAUGGGGAUAGAUUAUUGCAAUUAUUAAUCUUUAACGAGGAAUUCCUAGUAAGCGCGAGUCAUCAGCUCGUGCUGAUUACGUCCCUGCCCUUUGUACACACCGCCCGUCGCUCCUACCGAUUGAAUGGCUUAGUGAGGCUUCCGGAUUGGUUUAGAGAAGGGGGCAACUCCAUCUUGGAACCGAGAAGCUAGUCAAACUUGGUCAUUUAGAGGAAGUAAAAGUCGUAACA